CUCUCUCUGUCUUUCAUACAAACACACACAUACACACACACUGGUUAAAGGAAAAAACAAAACAAAACAGAUUCCAAGUGGGGUUUUCUCUGCCCCCAGCAUGGAGGCAUACUGCUAAUCUGCAUAUUCCCUUUUUUCUACUCACACACAGGAAAGAUGAAAAAAAUGGAGACAUUUUCCAUGACAUUAAAAAUAAUUUUCUCUCAUCUUCCCCCACCAUCUCCUACCAGCAGGACCUAAUUUAAUAGGCCGUUUCCAUGAAAGGAUUGUCCAGCCUUCCUUCCCAACCCUUGCUCACCAAAGUCCAACCUGGUUUUUACUCCCAACACCCCACCAUCCCUGCUCUUGAUGAGAUCACCAGUAACUGUUUAAUUGCCAUAUUCAAUGGUCAUUUUUGCAACCCUUAAUUUUCCUUGCCCUCUCAGCAGUAUUUGACACUGUUGAGCACUCUCACUUGCUCUCUUUCUCCAAGCCUUACCUUCUUUCUUUCCUUUCCUUCAAGAUGCGUAUUUCUGAAGCCUUCCAUUACCCUCUGAAACCAGACUGAUGAUGGUCUCUUCUUGCUACCACAGUGACUUAAAUGACACCGAUUACACUAUAUUGCAACAAACUGUAGACACUAUAGAGUGUCUGGGGCUGGGCCACCAGUGUGAAGGCCUAGGACAUAAAUGGGAAACUCACCCCUUGGUGGUUCUCAUUUUAUUUGCUCCACCUGAGCAAAGAACAAAGGAGCAAACAUUUCUAGAAAAACCGGAAGGGCUUUCAGCACAAGAAAGGUGGGCCAUAUGUGGGGGGGGGGAAUAGAUGUCCUACUUAUUAGCUUAUUUUUCACGUGGAAGAAGCAUGCAUGGGAAGGAGAGAGCCUGUGGACAUUGGUCUCCUGGGACUCAGUAGAGCCUGACAAAGAAAAAGAAUAAAGCUCAAGGACUAUAAGGUCAUGUCCACUUGAGAAGCAAAUAUGGAUGGAUUCUCAACAGAAUUUUAAGAAUUUAUGGAAGCUCAACGUUGGUAAGAUCAUUCAGUGCUGAUGAGGUCUUCCUGCAUGCCCAGCCCUGUAGACUCUUAACUUCUGUCAACAUAGCAUCUUAUUCAUUAUAUUCUUGCUCUGGGCAUGUUUCUGUUAUCUCCCUAGUUAAGUUGAAAACCUUUUUGAAUGAUAGAGAGAAAGCCUCAAUCUUACAGGUCCCUUCUUUCAGCAUCUAGCAUAUAGUAUAUCUUCAAUAAAACCACAUUGAUUUGAUUGGUUGAUUGAUUAAUUAUUUGACCUAAAAUCGUAGUUGGUUGUCAAAAGAUCCCUCUUUUAUUUUUCUUGGUGGACACAAGUUUAGUGACACUUGCCAGAGGCAAACUUUGCCUUUCAACUUUUAACUUCCAUUGAUUUUUCCACUGUGUGUGCCAAAGCCUUAAAUUGAUUCCAGUUGCUUAAAAGAGAUGUGUAUUUUUCUUCUACACAUUUUAAGAAAAAAAAAAAACCUUUGAAUAUAUUUUUCUUAGACUAAACCAAAACCAGAUAGUUUUUCCAGAGAUGUAUGAAUGAACAACAAAGCGGUUACUUUGGAAGCUGACAUAUUGGAUUUCAGAAAAAUCAAGUAAUCCAUGUUUCAUGUGACUCCAGGUGAAAGAAAAAUAUUUAAUCAGCAAUGGGAAAGGGAAAAAUAAAUUCAAAACCUCUCUUGUGCUGAUGUGCGAUAUAAAAACUGAACAAUUUAAUGUAGCAGCAAUGUGAUAAAUUAUAUUCGUCAGUAAAUAUGAAUUGCUUUUUAGACAAAAGAAUCUUCAUGACAUUUUUGAUGCUUAAAGAUAAAAUUAUUUCUCUUUCUGGGAUCAUAGAAUCAUAAAGUCUUGGACCUGGAAAAGACUUCAGAGAAUUCAAUUAUUUUUCCACCCAAACGCCAAGACGGUGACUCCUCUAGGGCAAGGAUCAUAUUUUCUGUUUGCCUUUUCAAGAUGUCCACAGUGCUGAGUCAAAAACUGUGCACUCAGUUCCCUUAAAUAACAGCCAGCAUUGGGGAUGCUGUUCACAACUAUAGGUGGUAAAAAAUAAAAAAAAACAACCAGAAAUCUCAUCCCCACUUUCUGGAAUUGUGUUUCUCUUUGAUAACAGCCCAAUUUGAGCCAUAGAGCCAUUGUAAUAAUAGGGAUUACGUCUUUGGGAUUUUCCCUGUGUCACUCAUUUAAAUGUCAUGCAAAGAGCUACACUGGUGCUUUUGUUGCCUGACUAGAGCCUUGGCUGGCUGCCAUGUGCCUGCGGGCCCCAGCUCACAGAGGACCUGCACACUGAACCUGCACGUUCCAAAACCGUUGCAAGGGCCUUACCUUUAUAUCACCACAGUACAGUGACUUACAGCGAUUCCAGAUCAAUACUCUUCUCAGAGUUCGUCUAGGAAGUCCUACCAGCUGUCACGUAAGGGUAAUUAACACAUCUCUCUCAAUUAUGCAUGCUGGUGGAAGAAUUUCAAACAUUUGGCUGGAUAACAAAUCCAUCCCCUCUGUUAGAAAAAGGUCAUCCCUCUGGCCAUCUGGAUAUUUACUUUUCUUUAGCAAUGAGCUUCAUGGAAUUUUCUGUCGGAGGGGGAAAACCAGGAGGACAAAGGGAUUUUCCUAGUAAAAACGAUAUGCCCCAUUCAAGACUGCCCAUGCCCAUGCAUCACCAAUCUUAAAUCUUAUACUUGGACUUCAUUUUAUUUAUUCCACUGUCUAUUAACAUCCGUCAUGUUUAAUCUGCAAGUACUAUGAUAAGAGCUGUCUUAGAUGGCCCUAAAGUCUUACUACUGUUAAUCUCCAUGGGAGAGUAUUUCUUUUACCUCCUAUGUGUUCAUAAAGGGUACAAGCAACCAGUUGGAGGGGAGUUGAGAAAGAACAGGCACAGAGAAGGACGCAAGCAAGGAUGGGGACGUCCCUACUCUUAGGGAGGGUGAAGUCUGGCGGGAGGGAACACACAAGUGACUGUGAUAUGAUGGUCAUAAUCUAGUCACCAGCAAAGUAAGCAAAACAAAGCCCUGGGGAGGAGGAGACGGUUCUGAGUGGGACUGGGAAGGCGACAAGAAGGAGGCGAGGGCAUCUGGGAAGAGCCUGUGGGAGUGGAAGAAGAGGGCAUUCUGGGCAGAAGGAGCCCACGAGCACAGACACAGAGGCAGGGGAGUGUGGGUGUGUUGGAAUCUGAGAGUAACUCGGCUGGACUGCAGUAUACAAGACCACGGGGCACGUAGGGAGGUAAAUAACAACGGCACGUUGGAACAGGGCUGUGGGGGAGCUUGAACACCCAAGUAAGGAAUUUGCUCUUUAUUUGGUAAGUCAGCACAAUGAAAAUCUUUGAGUAGGGAAUGGAAACAUUUUUGAAAUGACCUCUGACUCAGGUGGGGCAAAGGCAAUAUAUGAAACCUAAACAUUUGUACCCCUGUAACAUGCUGAAAUAAAAAAAUAAUAAUUAAAAGUAAAUUAAUUAAUUAAAUGACCUUUGCAACCAAGAGCGGUUGCACAGCAUCUCCCCGAAAUUCGUAUGUUGAAGUUCAAACAUUCUGAGGGAUGCCCUCAGAAUGUGACUUAUUCAAGAGACAGGAACUUUACAGAGAUCAUCAGGUUAAAGAGAGGUCACUGGGGUGAGUCCUUAUUAAAAGGGGGAAUGAGGAAAGUUGGAUACAGAGACGAGCAUAGAGGUGGGACGAUGUGAGGAGACAUCACAGGGAGAACACAGCCAUCUCCCGCCGAGGGUCCUGGAACGAUCUCUCCCUCCACGGCCCACAGGAGGAACCGACCCUGCCAACACCUUGAUUUUGGACUUCCGGCCUCCAGAACCCAGCGAGGAGAGACUUCUGUCGUUUGAGCCGCCCAGUCUGUGGUGCGUGGUUGUGGCGGCCCCGGCACACUGACAUAGCAGGGAAUGAAUGGAUGUGGGCUUCACAGAGGAUGGGGGCAAUGGCAAUCAAAGGAAAAGAGGCAGCGGAAUUUAUAACUUUGGAUCUGUUGCACAUGUACUUGCAAGGCACUAUUUAUUCAGGCUCCCAGCAGUGUGUGGUGCUACACACGACCACGUAUCCCAGGUGAGAACUCCACGUCCACCGGGGUAGCAAUGGCCUGCAGAGGGAAACGCUGAGAAGGUCAGAGGAAAAUAAAUUCUAGAAAAUUCUCAGGAGGAACUGCACGUAGAUGUGCCGAAAAGAAAAGAAGUAAAUGCUCCGGUAUCUGAAGACCAUGAGCUUGAAAGUGUCCCUAAAAGUCUAAAGAUCCAAUGCAUCCGGCAGAUCCAAUGUGUUAACUUUAAAUCCUGAAAAUAGAAACUGUGUUCUCAAAAUUUACUUAUUCGGAGGCAAUUUUCCAUGCUUUUCACUACGUUCCUUCCUUUCCACACACCUAGCCACACUCCCGCCCACGUGGGCCCCGCCCCUCACAGAAGGCAGAGCAGGGACCACUAAAUUCUUUCUUUGUGACACACACAUCACAUUUUAAAAAAUAGAACAUCUUACUGAAGAGAAGAGUGAAACUGGAGGGAAUGGCAUUUGAGGAUGGCCCCACACUGUGAGACGUAGAGGGAGUUGGCGAGAGUUUGACCAGGACUCUUCCCUGUCCCCUUUCUCUCCUCUCUCUGUCUUGGAGGAACAUCUGAAGUCCACUGCCUGAACGGCCAUUGGCAGGUGGCUUUCUCCCCACAGCCUGGCUCCAAGAGGCCAUCACAGAGAAGGCCCGAUCCAUUCCCAGCUGUUUGGAUUUUAAGGCUCAGGCAGAGGCUGCUGGGAGAGCCGCCCAUUCCCUUUCAAAGAGGGCAUGUGCACUGCAGAUCGGGUGGCGGCCGCAUCUGGCCUUCUUGUACUUAAGCCCUCUGCACUCUCCCAGGCUCUGGCCUGCUCCCUGGUCACAAGGGCAGUGCUAAAUGGAGAUCCUUAUGAGAUCAGCAGUAUUUAGCAAUCCGGGGUUUGACAUAAUGCACUUUCUCAUAAUUUAUUAAAGUUGCUAAUACAUUUUAAAAAAAAAUAUGUGAAGAACAUAGAAACCUCUCGGUAAUAUGGUCCAGUGCAUUAACACUGCAUUGAUUUUGCAUCUCAAUCAGAGUAAAAGCCAAAGUCCCCAUGAUGGCCGAUAAGGUUCACCAUCUGGUCCCCUCGCUGUCCUCAACUCCCCAGUCUUAGUUACUGCUCUUGCCAUCGCUCCCUCUGCUCCACCCACACUGGCCUACGUGCUAUGCCCAGGGUGCCCUAGGCACGCCCCUACCUCAGGACCGUUGCACUCCCUGUCUGCUCAGUCCUGAAGCUACCAGGCCCUCUGCCUGCCGCCUUCACGUCUCAAAGGGCAUCUUCUCACUGGGACCUUCUUUGGUACCACCCUGUCCAAAGUCGCGUCGCUGACUACUCUGAGUGUCAGGAGAGAGCAUCUGCCCGUGAGCAACUCACAGGAAAGGCCUGAGAUGGGAUCUGACAUUGGCACUGAUACCGAUGGUGCUAAUAGCAGGCGUUAGGGGGUAGUGCCGCCGCAGAGGUACAGAUGGCUGGAGAAGUGCAGAGAGGGGAAAAAUGCUUUCUCAGGAAGGCUGGGGGAAGGUCAGCCGAGCUGGGCCUUGGUAGGGAAGUGGAAUUUGGACAAUUCAAAAUAGGGAUGAAGAUAGAGGAAUGGAAA